rnacentral:lncRNA from 1 species
ACUCUCAGCCUCAGGGGAGCACUUCUCUGGCCUCUGGCUGUAAUCUAGGAGCCAAGGUCAGUGAAGAGGGCUGGCAGCCAAUAGUGAGCUUCCCCGGGGCCUGCGGGUCCAGCCAGGAUGUUCAGCAUUGCUGUGCUUGCUCCGUCUCCCAUAGAAGACUGGCUUUGAGAGCGCUGACAGUCACGUGGCCAUUUUUCUCUGCCAGCCGCAGCACUACAGUGUGAUUCGUAUUGGGCUCAGCUGGAACAGACCAAAAGAGGUAGGCGCACAGGGAUGAUGCGGAAACGGGUGCCUUCAGUCUCUUGAUGGCCCUGAUGAGGUCUUCUUGGCUGACAUCCUGUGCCUUCUUGCUCCUUCCUUUUAAUACCCGGUGAUGUAGUUCCUCCAGAGUCAUCAGGCCUCCGUUCCGGUGCUUCAGGGCCAGGCACACUUCGAUAAUUUGGACACCCAGCUCAUAAUAGAAAUCUCCCCCGCCUAGCA